rnacentral:rRNA from 1 species
UGGGUUUGACAUGCACAGGAUUGCUGCAGAGAUGUGGUUUCCUUUUUGGCCUGUGUGCAGGUGGUGCAUGGCUGUCGUCAGCUCGUGUCGUGAGAUGUUGGGUUAAGUCCCGCAACGAGCGCAACCCUCGUUCCAUGUUGCCAGCAGUUCGGCUGGGGACUCAUGGGAGACUGCCGGGGUCAACUCGGAGGAAGGUGGGGAUGAGGUCAAGUCAUCAUGCCCCUUAUGUCCAGGGCUUCACACAUGCUACAAUGGCCGGUACAGAGGGCAGCGAUGCCGUGAGGUGGAGCGAAUCUCAGAAAGCCGGUCUCAGUUCGGAUCGUAGUCUGCAACUCGACUGCGUGAAGUCGGAGUCGCUAGUAAUCGCAGAUCAGCAUUGCUGCGGUGAAUACGUUCCCGGGCC